rnacentral:rRNA from 1 species
GACGAACGCUGGCGGCGUGCUUAACACAUGCAAGUCGAACGCUGAAGCUUGGUGCUUGCACUGGGUGGAUGAGUGGCGAACGGGUGAGUAAUACGUGAGUAACCUGCCCUUGACUCUGGGAUAAGCCUGGGAAACUGGGUCUAAUACUGGAUACGACAUGUCACCGCAUGGUGGUGUGUGGAAAGGGUUUUACUGGUUUUGGAUGGGCUCACGGCCUAUCAGCUUGUUGGUGGGGUAAUGGCUCACCAAGGCGACGACGGGUAGCCGGUCUGAGAGGGUGACCGGCCACACUGGGACUGAGACACGGCCCAGACUCCUACGGGAGGCAGCAGUGGGGAAUAUUGCACAAUGGGCGGAAGCCUGAUGCAGCGACGCCGCGUGAGGGAUGACGGCCUUCGGGUUGUAAACCUCUUUCAGCACGGAAGAAGCGAAAGUGACGGUACGUGCAGAAGAAGCGCCGGCUAACUACGUG